UAUUGCGCAAUGGAGGGAACUCUGACGCAGCGACGCUGCGCGAGCGACGAAGGUUUUCGGAUCGUAAAGCUCUGUCCUUGGGGAAGAAGGCGGCCAUUUAUGGUCACUUGACGUUACUCAAGGAGGAAUCCCCGGCUAACUCGUUGCCAGCAGCCGCGGUAAUACGUAGGGGGCAAGCGUUGUCCGGAAUUAUUGGGCGUAAAGGGUGCGUAGGCGGCCUUUUAAGUAAGAUGUGAAAGACCACGGCUUAACCGUGGGGUUGCAUUUGAAACUGAAGGGCUUGAGUAUCGGAGAGGGUAGUGGAAUUCCCAGUGUAGCGGUGGAAUGCGUAGAUAUUGGGAGGAACACCAGUGGCGAAGGCGACUACCUGGACGAAAACUGACGCUGAGGCACGAAAGCUAGGGGAGCAAACA
rnacentral:rRNA from 1 species